rnacentral:sRNA from 1 species
AGUCUGCCCGCCCGCCCUGCGCGGGGGCCGAGUCGCGAAGCGCGCCUGCGACCCGGCGUCCGGGCGCGCUGGAGAGGACGCGAGGAGCCAUGAGGCGCCAGCCUGCGAAGGUGGCGGCGCUGCUGCUCGGGCUGCUCUUGGAGUGCACAGAAGCCAAAAAGCAUUGCUGGUAUUUCGAAGGACUCUAUCCAACCUAUUAUAUAUGCCGCUCCUACGAGGACUGCUGUGGCUCCAGGUGCUGUGUGCGGGCCCUCUCCAUACAGAGGCUGUGGUACUUCUGGUUCCUUCUGAUGAUGGGCGUGCUUUUCUGCUGUGGAGCCGGCUUCUUCAUCCGGAGGCGCAUGUACCCCCCGCCGCUGAUCGAGGAGCCAGCCUUCAAUGUGUCCUACACCAGGCAGCCCCCAAAUCCCGGCCCAGACCAUAUACUCCUUGACGACAGGGACUACCACCUUCACCUUCAUGCCCACAAGGUGUCACACUGCAAGGCUGAGCUGACCCCCACUUUCCUUUGGUCCGCCUCCUGCUAUUAUCUGGAA